GACGUAGGGCGCGAGCGUUGUCCGGAUUUAUUGGGCGUAAAGAGCUCGUAGGCGGCUUGUCGCGUCGUCUGUGAAAUCCCGCGGCUCAACCGCGGGUCUGCAGUCGAUACGGGCAGGCUAGAGUUCGGUAGGGGAGACUGGAAUUCCUGGUGUAGCGGUGAAAUGCGCAGAUAUCAGGAGGAACACCGGUGCGAAGGCGGGUCUCUGGGCCGAUGACUGACGCUGAUGACGCGAAAGCCAGGGGAGGCGAACGGG
rnacentral:rRNA from 1 species